rnacentral:lncRNA from 1 species
GGCGGGUGACCCUGUUCCUGAACGGCAGCCCCAAGAACGGAAAGGUGGUUGCUGUAUAUGGAACUUUAUCUGAUUUGCUUUCUGUGGCCAGCAGUAAACUCGGCAUAAAAGCCACCAGUGUGUAUAAUGGGAAAGGUGGACUGAUUGAUGAUAUUGCUUUGAUCAGGGAUGAUGAUGUUUUGUUUGUUUGUGAAGGAGAGCCAUUUAUUGGCGCUGAAAGCAUGCUGCUCUUAUAGCUGUUGGUAUUGGUGGGACUACCUUAUCACCUAGUGUUGUUUUAGAUGCAGUCUGUGGGUUUGGGUAUUGCUGUCCUAGUAGCUCUGAUCCUCAGACAGAUUCUAAGCCUCCUGAGGGAUUGUUAGGAUUCCACACAGACUGGCUGACAUUAAAUGUUGGAGGGCGGUACUUUACAACUACACGGAGCACUUUAGUGAAUAAAGAACCUGACAGUAUGCUGGCCCACAUGUUUAAGGAC